rnacentral:rRNA from 1 species
CACGAAAGUUCUUCUGUUUUAAAAAAACACUCAAGGAAAUUGAAUUUGUAGUGAAGAUGCUACAUUAAAAUUGUUAGACGAGAAGUCCCCAUGGAGCUUUACUGAAAGCUUAAAAGAAAUUUUUUUAUUUAUUUAUAGGCUAGACAGUUUUGUUGGGGUGAUAGUUUUUUAAAAAGUAACGAAAACGAACUAUGACGCAUGUUUCACUCUGAAAACUUGAAGAGACAUUUGGGGUGUGUUUUAUGAUCUAUUGUUUUGAAUGAAAAAGAUAAUGAAAGCA